AAAAAAUAUAAAAUGCAAUGACAAAAAAAAAGAUAAGGAAAAGAAUAUAAAAAAAUAAGAAAAAUGACAAAAAUGAUGAACCAAGUAUGAAAAAGGGGGAAACGGAAAUACAAAAAAAAAAUAAUGCAAAGAAAUAAAAUUGAAAAAGAAAAAAAUGAUGAAAAAGAAGAAAGAAAAAAAGUGUAAGAAACGAGUAAAAAAUAAGUGAAAAAAAUGAAAAAGAUAAAAAAGUAAAUUAAAGGAAAAAAAGAAAGAAAAAAAAUAGUAAAUUAAAGAAAAAAAGAAAGAAAAAAACAAAAAAAGAAAGAAAAAAAAGAAAGAGAAAUAAAAGAUAGAAAAAAAUAAUAAUAAGAGUGAGACUAUGGAUUAUAUUUAAUUUAUAAGAGAUGUUAU
rnacentral:lncRNA from 1 species